rnacentral:rRNA from 1 species
UACGUAGGGGGCAAGCGUUGUCCGGAUUUAUUGGGCGUAAAGCGCUCGCAGGUGGUUCGUCGCGUCGUGCGUGAAAGACCCCGGCUCAACUGGGGGAGGUCGUGCGAUACGGGCGGACUGGAGGCCAGUAGGGGGAUGCGGAAUUCUGGGUGUAGUGGUGGAAUGCGUAGAGAUCCGGAGGAACACCAGCGGCGAAGGCGGCAUCCUGGACUGGUCCUGACACUCAUGAGCGAAAGCGUGGGGAGCGAUCCGG